AACGAACGCUGGCGGCAUGCCUAACACAUGCAAGUCGAACGAAGCCUUCGGGCUUAGUGGCGCACGGGUGCGUAACGCGUGGGAAUCUGCCCUUUGGUUCGGAAUAACAGUUGGAAACGACUGCUACUACCGGAUGAUGACGAAAGUCCAAAGAUUUAUCGCCAGAGGAUGAGCCCGCGUAGGAUUAGCUAGUUGGUGUGGUAAAGGCGCACCAAGGCGACGAUCCUUAGCUGGUCUGAGAGGAUAAUCAGCCACGCUGGGACUGAGACACGGCCCAGACUCCUACGGGAGGCAGCAGUGAGGAAUAUUGGACAGUGGGCGAAAGCCUGAUCCAGCAAUGCCGCGUGAGUGAUGAAGGCCCUAGGGUUGUAAAGCUCUUUUACCCGGGAUGAUAAUGACAGUACCGGGAGAAUAAGCCCCGGCUAACUCCGUGCCAGCCGCCGCGGUAA
rnacentral:rRNA from 1 species